ACCCUGUGUUGUUUUCAACGCAGAGAUUGUCCAGGCGCCGGAUCUGAGACAGUACUUAUCACAUCGGUACGACUGGGUCUCAGCCGGUCAGCUCAUGGGUGGAACAUUGACAUUGGUGCGGAGCCGAACGGCUCGAACUUAGUACGCCUGCUUGCAGGAAGGAACAGUUCGGACCGGGGAGCCUCGCACAUGCACGCUGUUGGGUCCUGAGGGACCGGACCUCAUCGCUGUGUCUUCAAGACGCUGAGAUGAGAACCGAAUCCUCUGGACCUUUUUUGGUCGGCCAUAACUGGGCCGGCGGAAAAGGUACCGCCCGUACUUUGAGAACUACACAGUGGACGCGAGCAUCUUAGAUUCGGACCUUCGGGUUCGGAUCACAAAAGAUGAUCAUAGUACUUUCGAGUACUGAUUAGAUCAUUGGUCAAUCUGCUCACUUCGG
rnacentral:misc_RNA from 1 species